UACAGAGGGUGCAAGCGUUGUUCGGAAUCACUGGGCGUAAAGCGCGUGUAGGCGGUUUUCUAAGUCAGGUGUGAAAUCCCCCGGCUUAACCGGGGAAGUGCGCCUGAAACUGGGAGGCUUGAGUAUCGGAGAGGAAAGGGGAAUUCCCGGUGUAGAGGGUGAAAUUCGUAGAUAUCGGGAGGAACACCGGCGGCGAAGGCGC
rnacentral:rRNA from 1 species